rnacentral:rRNA from 1 species
AGGUUACUGCUAUCGGUGUUCGCCUAAGCCAUGCGAGUCAUAUGUUCUUCGUGAACAUGGCGUACUGCUCAGUAACACGUGGAUAACCUGCCCUUGGGUCCGGCAUAACCCCGGGAAACUGGGGAUAAUUCCGGAUAACGCACAUAUGCUGGAAUGCUUUAUGCGUCAAAUGGAUUCGUCCGCCCAAGGAUGGGUCUGCGGCCUAUCAGGUAGUAGUGGGUGUAAUGUACCUACUAGCCUACGACGGGUACGGGUUGUGAGAGCAAGAGCCCGGAGAUGGAUUCUGAGACAUGAAUCCAGGCCCUACGGGGCGCAGCAGGCGCGAAAACUUUACAAUGCGGGGAACCGUGAUAAGGGGACACCGAGUGCCAGCAUCAUAUGCUGGCUGUCCGGGUGUGUAAAAUACACCUGUUAGCAAGGGCCGGGCAAGACCGGUGCCAGCCGCCGCGGUAACACCGGCGGCCCGAGUGGUGAUCGUGAUUAUUGGGUCUAAAGGGUCCGUAGCCGGUUUGGUCAGUCCUCCGGGAAAUCUGACGGCUUAACCGUUAGGCUUUCGGGGGAUACUGCCAGACUUGGAACCGGGAGAGGUAAGAGGUACUACAGGGGUAGGAGUGAAAUCUCGUAAUCCCUGUGGGACCACCUGUGGCGAAGGCGUCUUACCAGAACGGGUUCGACGGUGAGGGACGAAAGCUGGGGGCACGAACCGGAUUAGAUACCCGGGUAGUCCCAGCCGUAAACGAUGCUCGCUAGGUGUCAGGCAUGGCGCGACCGUGUCUGGUGCCGCAGGGAAGCCGUGAAGCGAGCCACCUGGGAAGUACGGCCGCAAGGCUGAAACUUAA